rnacentral:rRNA from 1 species
GAAUGAUUAAUACCCGAUGGCAUAGUUCUUCCGCAUGGUGGAACUAUUAAAGAAUUUCGGUCAUCGAUGGGAUGCGUUCCAUUAGGUUGUUGGCGGGUAACGGCCCACCAAGCCUUCGAUGGAUAGGGGUUCUGAGAGGAAGGUCCCCCCACAUUGGAACUGAGACACGGUCCAAACUCCUACGGGAGGCAGCAUG